GAUGAAGAACGUAGCGAAAUGCGAUAAGUAAUGUGAAUUGCAGAAUUCAGUGAAUCAUCGAAUCUUUGAACGCACAUUGCGCCCGCCGGUAUUCCGGCGGGCAUGCCUGUUCGAGCGUCAUUUCAACCCUCAAGCUCUCCGGAGUUUGGUGUUGGGGCACCUGGGGUUUUCGACCUCAGGGCCCUCAAGUCCAUCGGCGGGACCGCCAGGACACUGAGCGCAGUAGUAUUAUUUCGCUCGGUAGGAUCUUCCACGGCGGGUCGAUCUGGCCGCUAAACCCCCCAAUUCUCACCAAAGGUUGACCUCGGAUCAGGUAGGAAUACCCGCUGAACUUAAGCAUAUCAAUAAGCGGAGGA
rnacentral:misc_RNA from 1 species